UAUAAUUUGUUAUUUUUCAAAACGCAAAACCACCGCCACUUCCCUAAUCCUUUUUUUAUCACUGUUCACCCCAUUUGACACUCAGCCUCACCAACGGUUGCUGUCGGCCCUCGUCUUCACCUUGAUGUUGCUAAACGUCGUGCUCGGAGCGGUUGCAUCGCAGUCUCUGUCAUUGUCCUCAAGCCAGUCUCAGCCCUCAUCAUCAUUGGCCCUGAAAUUGAUGUCUCUGUCUUCGCGUCAAGCCUCUGUCUUUGCGCCCCUUCACUUUCUGUCCAAGGUCCCGCCCUUCCUCUCUUCUUGUCACUUCCUGUCCUCGCUUGCUAUCGAUAAGCACUUCUGGUUCAAUUUGUGUGGUUGCUAAUUUUUGUUGAGUUAAUUUGUUGAUGGAGUUCUGAGUUGGGGGUUUAUGAUUUUUUUUAUAUGUUGUUUUUAAGUGCAUUAAUUUUGUAUUCUGAACAAGGAUUUGUUAAGUGCGUUAAUUUUGUUGAUGAUUAUGGAAAAAAUGCUUAUCCUAGAAUUUUGUUGCUGAUGUGAUGAUUAUGGUUCCUGAUUAAUUGAUUUAGUGAAAAAGUUAUACUCAGCAAGACUGUUAAUCUAGCUUCAAUACUCUAUUGUUUCCCUCCCAUAAUUUAUUAUUCCUUUAAUUGUUGUUGCUGCUGUUACCCUUCAUUGUUAAUGUUAAUUGUAUAUUCUUAUUAUUGCUGCUGGAAAUUGUUGUUCAUCUGAAGUUGUUAACUGUUAAUUGUUAUUGUUGUUCCUAUUGUUAAUUGUUAUUCUUGGUGGUGUUUUGUGGUGUUCGUCUCUUGAGUCUUCACUUCUUACUAUUACUGGUCUUUUUUCUUCUAAUGUUUGCUGGCUACUGCUACUAUGAUCUAUUUUUUUUAAUUCUGCUUAAAUUAAAAUGUUUAUGUAAUCAAAACAAAAAUAUAUUUUCAUAUAUAAAUAUUCAAAAAUUAAGAACUAUGUAAAGCCAAUCUAAUUGUUAAUUGUUGCUUUAAAUUUGAGUUUGUUGCCUCUUAAUUGUCCUUGUUGCUGCCACUGUUAAUUGUUAUUCUUGAUGAUGUGAUGGGCUUCAUAAUAAAUAGCUGCUGUUUUUGUGGCAACUUUCACGGGUGGAAUAAAUCUUUUCAUGGUUUUUGAAACCUUCGAAUAUAGUGCAAAGGAUACGCUGAACAAGUCUGCUUGCAUUAUUAUCUUGAAGGCUGCUGCUAUUUUUUUCUUUUAACAUGUGCUUGAUUCAAUGAUUUAUUCUUAUUUUAUUUUUUGGUUUUGAUUUACUGUUGUGCUGAUAUUGAAUGCUGUAAUUUUCCUGUUGCAUUUUUUUAAUUUGAUAAUAGUAUAAGUAUUAACCUUGGUGGUACCUAGUAUAUUAAGAUGCCCAGUAUAGGUCGUUACACAAAGACAUCAAAGUUAGACACAACAUGUCAACAACCUCAAGUAGGAGCUACUGCAGCUUCGUCCUCCCAUCAAGUGGACUAUCCAAUUCCCCCAUCCAGUGAUGGUGUUGCAUCCGCAGGUACAUCUUUACGCCCAUUUUGUCUACCGCGCAAUGAACCACAGCCUGCUCCACAGACCUGCACAAAUGGUGAUAAAAACUGGGAGCUAGGCAACGAAAACAUAGACCUUGAGGUAAAUGAGGUAGAUUCCUUUGAGCAACACGUUGACAACCUAUUUGCUGAAUCCAAGGCUCAGAAGUGCAAGGGACGUAAGACCACUGAAUUUUGAGACAUUAAAAUAAUUGAAUACGAUGACACAAUCAAGUAAACUUGUUUAAGGGUAAAGGAAGCUUUGAAUCCACAUAACGGUAGAAAGACCGUACUCAAAUUCAACGAAAAACUGCAACCAACUGGAGAUGAAACUGGUAUCUUGAGUGGCGUUCUUGGAUUGCUAGGUGCUGACUACAAUAAAUUUCCAGUCUGCAAGAAAGACUAGAGAAAGAUUAACUCCAUGGACAAGAUCUAUAACGAAUGUGUAAAGAUAGUAGAGAAAUUAUCAAGCGUACAAUUAUAAAAAGUAUGGGGAGGUCUUGGAAGAAAACGAGGUGCAGAUUGUACCAUGACUAUUACGACUCUGAAAAGGUGAUUGAACAAAAUAUUAGUGCAGAUAAUUGGGGAUGGUUCCUUGAUUAUCACAAAAGUGAACACACAAAGGAGAAGUGUAGGUAAAAUGUUGUGAGUCAACCGAAGCAACUAUACACUCAUACUAGCAAUUCAAAAAGCUUGGCAAGG